rnacentral:rRNA from 1 species
CGCGCAGGCGGUCCUUUAAGUCUGAUGUGAAAGCCCACGGCUCAACCGUGGAGGGUCAUUGGAAACUGGGGGACUUGAGUGCAGAAGAGGAAAGUGGAAUUCCACGUGUAGCGGUGAAAUGCGUAGAGAUGUGGAGGAACACCAGUGGCGAAGGCGACUUUCUGGUCUGUAACUGACGCUGAGGCGCGAAAGCGUGGGGAGCAAACA